rnacentral:rRNA from 1 species
CAGUAGCCGCGGUAAUACGUAGGGUGCGAGCGUUAAUCGGAAUUACUGGGCGUAAAGCGUGCGCAGGCGGUUGUGUAAGACAGGUGUGAAAUCCCCGGGCUUAACCUGGGAACUGCGCUUGUGACUGCACAGCUAGAGUAUGGCAGAGGGGGGUGGAAUUCCACGUGUAGCAGUGAAAUGCGUAGAGAUGUGGAGGAACACCGAUGGCGAAGGCAGCCCCCUGGGCCAAUACUGACGCUCAUGCACGAAAGCGUGGGGAGCAAACAGGAUUAGAUACCCCAGUAGUCCCUGUCUCUUAUAA